rnacentral:rRNA from 1 species
UACGUAGGGUGCAAGCGUUGUCCGGAAUUAUUGGGCGUAAAGAGCUCGUAGGCGGCCUGUCGCGUCGGCUGUGAAAACCCGGGGGCUCAACCCCGGGCCUGCAGUCGAUACGGGCAGGCUAGAGUCCGGCAGGGGAGACUGGAAUUCCUGGUGUAGCGGUGAAAUGCGCAGAUAUCAGGAGGAACACCGGUGGCGAAGGCGGAUCUCUGGGCCAUUACUGACGCUGAGGAGCGAAAGCGUGGGGAGCGAACAGG